GGGUUUUGGUUUGAGUAGAGUGGUGGAUGGGUGAGUAAUGUGUGGGAAUUUACCUCGAUGUGGGGGAUAACCCGGGGAAAUUUGGGUUAAUACCGCAUAUGAUUUAGGGGUGAAAGGGGGUUUUGGUUUUUGUGGUGAGAUGAGUUUAUGUCCGAUUAGUUAGUUGGUGAGAUAAAGGUUUAUUAAGGUGAUGAUUGGUAGUUGGUUUGAGAGGAUGAUUAGUCAUAUUGGGAUUGAGAUAUGGUUUAGAUUUCUAUGAGAGGUAGUAGUGGGGAAUAUUGGAUAUGGGCGUAAGCCUGAUCCAGCAAUGCCGCGUGUGUGAAGAAGGCCUGCGGGUUGUAAAGCACUUUCAGUGGGGAAGAAAGCCACGGGGUUAAUAUCCCCGUGGGUUGACGUUACCCACAGAAGAAGCACCGGUUAACUCCGUGCCAGUAGUUGUGGUAAUAUGGAGGGUGCAAGCGUUAAUCGGAAUCACUGGGCGUAAAGCGCACGUAGGCGGCAACGUAAGUCAGAUGUGAAAGCCCUGGGUUUAAUUUGGGAAUGGCAUUUGAGACUGCGUCGCUCGAGUCUGAGAGAGGGGGGUGGAAUUUUAGGUGUAGUGGUGAAAUGUGUAGAGAUUUGGAGGAAUAUUAGUGGUGAAGGUGGUUCCCUGGUUCAAGACUGACGCUGAGGUGCGAAAGCGUGGGGAGUAAACAGGAUUAGAUAUCCUGGUAGUUUAUGCUGUAAACGAUGUCGACCAGCCGUGGGGUCCAUUUAAGGGUUUCGUGGUGUAGUUAAUGUGAUAAGUCGACCGCCUGGGGAGUACGGCCGCAAGGUUAAAACUCAAAGGAAUUGAUGGGGGUUUGUAUAAGUGGUGGAGUAUGUGGUUUAAUUUGAUGCAAUGUGAAGAAUUUUACCAGCCCUUGAUAUUUAGGGAACCUCAGGAGAUUGAGGGUGUUGUAAGGAACCCUAAGAUAGGUGUUGUAUGGCUGUCGUCAGCUCGUGUUGUGAGAUGUUGGGUUAAGUUUUGUAAUGAGUGUAACCCUUGCCCUUAGUUGCCAGUGUGUGAUGGUGGGAAUUUUAAGGGGACUGCCGGUGAUAAACCGGAGGAAGGUGGGGAUGACGUCAAGUCAUCAUGGCCCUUAUGGGCUGGGUUAUAUACGUGCUACAAUGGCCGGUAUAGAGGGUUGUUAAUUUGUGAGGGGGAGUUAAUUUUAGAAAACCGGUCGUAGUUCGGAUUGCAGUCUGUAAUUUGACUGCAUGAAGUUGGAAUUGUUAGUAAUUGUGAAUUAGUAUGUUGUGGUGAAUAUGUU
rnacentral:rRNA from 1 species